UCCUGGCCACCAGGCUGAGAGUGGCUAGGGGCCAUGGGAUCCCUGGAGCUUUGCCUGGAGAGUCGAGUGAGCUGAUGCCCUUCUCUACUGUCGGCUCUGGCUCCGCAGCUGGAGUUGACAUUUCUUUCUAAGCCAUUUCCUGUCACCACCCCUUCGGAUGAAGAUACACAAGACUUCAGAAAACUCAGGACAGCUGUGUGACAGAAGCCAGCCUUGGCAAAGCAGGGGGGUGGUGGACUGGGGAAAAGCUGGGAAGGACGCUCAGGGAACACAGUGCUCCACCAACUGCACAGAGACCAGCUGGGAAUGGGAUGACUUAGCAAGAUGGAGACAGACCCCCACCACGAAUGGCGGCAGAUGCUUCAUAGUGGAAGACAGAGACUGAGGGGAGCAGCAUGGAUCCAGGAGCCCUUACUGGAUACGAUCUGCUCACUCCAGAAGUGCAGAGGCCGCCACAAAGGGGUUAGGCAUCCAGUCAGUCGCCUCCAGGACCCCAAAGGACCAAGCUUAGGGCUAAGCAGUAGGGUUUGGUUUUCUUUCUCAACCUUCAUGGGGAGGAUGGUCCAGGCUGGUCCCCUCCCACACUAUCAGAUUUGCUUUUCCUGAAUGGAUGGCACGAGGGGCAGGCACUGCAGGGCCACCUCAGCCCCUGGAUGGUGACAGUGCUGCUUUGGGGCCCUCACCGACAAGUACCAGACCAGCUGGGGUUUGUGAGGCUGAAACACGCUGAUGGGACAGGAUCGGCUUUGAGAGACACGUAAACACUGGGGUUUAUGUGCAGCACUGACCCACAGGCUCAGAGGAACGGUGGUGAUGCUGUGCAUGGCCCCUGCGCCCCUGUGGGGUUGGACACUGUGAAUUUAAUUGCCCGUGGACGCUCCGAGUGCACUGUGUGCGUGCUGUGGAGAGGAAGCUCGUGCUGAGCAGAGGAGCAAAGGAGGCAACGGAGCGGGAAGCCUGGCCUUCGUCUUUUAUGUGAGCCCGGGAACCUAGAGCUCUCCAAGCCAUCAUUCUCAAAAAGCUUUUUAUAGCCCUUCAGAAGUUUAUGCCUCUGUAGAUCCACAUAUCACAGAGUGUCCCUCAGCGAUUCUGGGCCAACUGUCUCAUCAGACUUGGGGAACUGAUGCCUUAAUUUCUUCAAAGGAGCCCCUCUCUGUGGUCAAAUUCCAGGAUGGGGAGAUGAGAGCUCGAGCAUUCAAAAAGCAGUAGUUUGAUCUGGGUGUGUUGGCACACGCCUGUCACGCAGCACUCAGGAGGAAAAGCUGGAGAUUCAGAAGUUCAAGGACACCCUUAGCUACAGGGACCUUAAAUCGCUGACGUGAGAAGGCUUCACAACAGCUUGUAACUCCAGCCCCGCUGGGCCUGGUGCCCUCUUCUGGCCUCCUCAAGUACCUGCACACACAUGGCAUGCACUCACAUAAAUAAGA